UGGGUUAUAAUAACAUCAUAAUUUCCAAAACAAAGUAUAUCUAGUGGUUCGUAUAUUGAAAUAAGUAAAAUAUCAGACUAAUCCCUAACUGAUAUUUUCCUCUAUAUCAUUUGUCUACAAAAUUAACUGUAUCAGAUUUGUAACGAUUUUGAGGAUACCAUAAAAGAAAGGAUGGUUAAUCGUCAUUUGCAUUAUUGUCACUGAAGACUGUAAUACUGCAAAGAAACCUGGAACAAAUUGUUUAAUGAUUGUAAUAAUUUCAAUUGAACAACGCUGUUUCCAAUUUUUCCUUUUACUCUUGCUAUGUGGUACGACAUGACCGAUAAUGUGUUAUAUUAUGACACCAUGAAGAAAAGACAAAAAAUUUGUACAUGACCUAUGAAUAAAUUCCUUACAAACAAACGCAAAAA